GGUGGAGCGAUUUGUCUGGUUAAUUCCGAUAACGAACGAGACUCUAGCCUACUAAAUAGUGGCUGAAUUUUUAGUUCAGCGUACUUCUUAGAGGGACAAGGGGUAUCUAGCCCCACGAGAUUGAGCAAUAACAGGUCUGUGAUGCCCUUAGAUGUCCGGGGCUGCACGCGCGCUACACUGAAGGAGUCAACAUGCAUUGAUACCUAGUCUGGAAAGACCGGGUAACCCAAUGAAACUCCUUCGUGAUUGGGAUAGGGAAUUGUAAUUAUUUCCCUUGAACGAGGAAUUCCUAGUAAAUGCGGGUCAUCAUCUCGCGUUGAAUACGUCCCUGCCCUUUGUAC
rnacentral:rRNA from 1 species